AACGAACGCUGGCGGCAUGCCUAACACAUGCAAGUCGAACGAGACCUUCGGGUCUAGUGGCGCACGGGUGCGUAACACGUGGGAAUUUGCCUCGGGGUAUGGAAUAACUCAGGGAAACUUGAGCUAAUACCAUAUAAUGUCUUCGGACCAAAGAUUUAUCGCCCUGAGAUAAGCCCGCGUAGGAUUAGCUAGUUGGUGAGGUAAAGGCUCACCAAGGCGACGAUCCUUAGCUGGUCUGAGAGGAUGAUCAGCCACACUGGGACUGAGACACGGCCCAGACUCCUACGGGAGGCAGCAGUGGGGAAUAUUGGACAAUGGGCCGAAAGCCUGAUCCAGCAAUGCCGCGUGAGUGAUGAAGGCCUCGGUUGUAAG
rnacentral:rRNA from 1 species